rnacentral:lncRNA from 1 species
GCCCCGCGCGAAGAUGGGAGCCGGCCCGGUGUUUCACGCCAGCGCGUGGCCUCCGCCAGGGUGUCAGGCAGAGUGGAAGGAGAGGAGGAGAAGGGAAGUCGGGGACGUCGGUCAUGUCUAGGCGCUGGUGUUCUGGGGUGUCAGGCAGAGUGGAAGGAGAGGAGGAGAAGGGAAGUCGGGGACGUCGGUCAUGUCUAGGCGCUGGUGUUCUGGGUGAGUGAGUGCCCUUUGUUCUCUUCCUUCUCCUCUUCCAAAGGGUUCAUUUCAUCACAGGGAAAAGGUCAGUGGUUCUGGUGGUUCAGCAAGCCUCAAGAAGGGGAGACUCC